rnacentral:sRNA from 1 species
CGCUUGGCCUAUCCCUGUGUUUUUGAUUCAGUAUUUCUUGGGAGAGAGCUAGAUAUCUUCAUUUUACAGUGUUCACUAAGCAUUCAGAGGGAGGCAAUCAAUGGAUGAGUUUGUGAAAUAUUUUGUAGAUUCAACUGCAGUGUUUUCUCUUCUAUGUAGACAUUAGGCUGGGUUCUGGAAAAACCAUGGGACAUCUUCUUUCUUUUUUUAUAAGCAGGACUCUGCCUUCCUGACCUGAAUAUUAUCUCCGUGUUGGAGCAAGGGAAAGAGCCCUGGACUGUGGUGAGCCAAGUGAAAAUAGCAAGGAACCCAAACUGUGGGGAAUGCAUGAAAGGCAUGAUCACAGGUAUCUCUCCUAAAUGUGUGAUCAAGGAAUUACCACCAAUACAGAACAGUAACACAGGAGAAAAAUUCCAAACAGUGAUGUUGGAAGGACAUGAAAGCUAUGACACUGAAAA